rnacentral:rRNA from 1 species
GUGUCAGCAGCCGCGGUAAUACGUAGGGGGCGAGCGUUGUCCGGAUUCAUUGGGCGUAAAGCGCGGGCAGGCGGCCCGCUCAGUCGGCCGUGAAAGCGCCGGGCUCAACUCGGCGCGGUCGGGCGAUACUGGCGGGCUGGAGGCUGGUAGAGGGCGGUGGAAUUCCGGGUGUAGUGGUGGAAUGCGUAGAGCUCCGGAGGAACACCAGUGGCGAAGGCGGCCGCCUGGGCCAGUCCUGACGCUGAGCCGCGAAAGCGUGGGGAGCGAUCCGGAUUAGAUACCCUAGUAGUCC